ensembl:lncRNA
GUAAGCAGCUUCCUUACUUUAUUUCUGUAGCAGUUGCAUUUGAGUAAAUCCUUGUUUGUAGCCUGGGACCUUGCUGCUCUAUUGUCAUUGAUUUACUUUCUUUUGUGUUACAACCAGCUCAUCUGUGGUUUUUUUUUUUUUAAUGCUGUAGGAUUAAAGAGUGCUUGUGACAAGAGAAAACAGAUCUCCCUUUUUUGAUUCUGUGGGUGAAAUGGCCAGAGCAAGGAGAAGAGGCCUCACUGUUAAGUAACAGCAGCUGCUUUACGAAGAGACUGUAUUUCAACUUGAGGGGGAAUGACACAUGCCUAGACCACAACUUCAGUUGGCAGAGACACCAUCUCUGUUCCACUGUAACACUUCCCUAAAGUUCCCCCUUCCAGAGGGAAAGAGGAAUUUGAGGAAAUUUUCUUUAUAUCACUGCGCUUCUCUCUUCAUUAUGAAGGUAAGUUUUCCCUUCCUCCUCUACCCCUUCCAGCUCCUUCCCAGCAUAAAACUCCUCUCCAAUAUGUAGAUACAGCAUAGAAUAAUACAGAAGAGCCCCAGUUUACUUCUGAGUUUCAAUUGCUGAGUGAUUCAGUGUACUUUCAUAGUGUAAAGUAGAAUGAAUUGUUUACCGGUAUUUUAUGGUGUACAAUGUUAGCUUCCAAUGAGGAAGACCCCUGAAUAUCUUAGCUCUCCUCUCACAAGUAUCCAUCUUCUAAAGGAAGUUCUGCUGAAUUUUUGAGUAUUUGCGUUUCCAGAAGUUACACCAAGACUACAGCUAUUGAUUGCAAAGUUUCUAGGCGAACUCCUCACCUUGAAAUGUGUGUUUGUGUCAGCGCUGAGAUUAAAAUGAGUCCAGUGACCUGAUUGUUUUGAUCCAUGUUCUUUGGCCCAAGGGAGGUUGUUAUUAUUGUUUCUUAAAAAUAAAAAAGCACAGUUAAAAAAUAACGAAGUAUGAAAACAGAAUCAAAGAGGAAAUGAAUAAGCAUUAAACUCAGAACAAU